rnacentral:rRNA from 1 species
UAGGGAAUCCUCGGCAAUGGACGGAAGUCUGACCGAGCAACGCCGCGUGAGUGAAGAAGGUUUUCGGAUCGUAAAGCUCUGUUGUAAGAGAAGAACGAGUGUGAGAGUGGAAAGUUCACACUGUGACGGUAUCUUACCAGAAAGGGACGGCUAACUACGUGCCAGCAGCCGCGGUAAUACGUAGGUCCCGAGCGUUGUCCGGAUUUAUUGGGCGUAAAGCGAGCGCAGGCGGUUAGAUAAGUCUGAAGUUAAAGGCUGUGGCUUAACCAUAGUACGCUUUGGAAACUGUUUAACUUGAGUGCAAGAGGGGAGAGUGGAAUUCCAUGUGUAGCGGUGAAAUGCGUAGAUAUAUGGAGGAACACCGGUGGCGAAAGCGGCUCUCUGGCUUGUAACUGACGCUGAGGCUCGAAAGCGUGGGGAGCAAACAGGAUUAGAUACCCUGGUAGUCCACGCCGUAAACGAUGAGUGCUAGGUGUUAGGUCCUUUCCGGGACUUAGUGCCGCAGCUAACGCAUUAAGCACUCCGCCUGGGGAGUACGACCGCAAGGUUG